rnacentral:rRNA from 1 species
GAUGAACGCUAGCGGCAGGCUUAAUACAUGCAAGGCGAGGGGGCAGCAAUGUCACCGUCGUACGGGUGCGUAACGCGUAUGCAACCUACCUAUCACUGGGGGAUAGCCCGGGGGAAACCCGGAUUAAUACCGCAUAAUACAGGGGGUAUCACAUGGUACUAUUUGUUAAAGAUUUAUCGAUGGUAGAUGGGCAUGCGUUC